UCCGGUUUGUCACCGGCAGUCUCCUUAGAGUGCCCUUGCGUAGCAACUAAGGACAAGGGUUGCGCUCGUUGCGGGACUUAACCCAACAUCUCACGACACGAGCUGACGACAGCCAUGCAGCACCUGUGCGCCGGUUCUCUUUCGAGCACUUCCUGAUCUCUCAGAAAUUCCGACCAUGUCAAGGGUAGGUAAGGUUUUUCGCGUUGCAUCGAAUUAAUCCACAUCAUCCACCGCUUGUGCGGGUCCCCGUCAAUUCCUUUGAGUUUUAAUCUUGCGACCGUACUCCCCAGGCGGUCGACUUCACGCGUUAGCUGCGGUACUAAGGAAGUCUCCUUCCCCAACACCUAGUCGACAUCGUUUAGGGCGUGGACUAC
rnacentral:misc_RNA from 1 species